ACCUUAAUCUAAUCCAUC
rnacentral:snRNA from 1 species